GUGGGGAAUAUUGGACAAUGGGCGCAAGCCUGAUCCAGCCAUGCCGCGUGUGUGAAGAAGGCCUUCGGGUUGUAAAGCACUUUUGUCCGGAAAGAAAUCUUCCAACUUAAUACGUUGGGAGGAUGACGGUACCGGAAGAAUAAGCACCGGCUAACUUCGUGCCAGCAGCCGCGGUAAUACGAAGGGUGCAAGCGUUACUCGGAAUUACUGGGCGUAAAGCGUGCGUAGGCGGUUCGUUAAGUCUGACGUGAAAUCCCCGGGCUCAACCUGGGACGUGCGUUGGAAACUGGCGAUCUAGAGUACGGUAGAGGGUGGUGGAAUUCCCGGUGUAGCAGUGAAAUGCGUAGAGAUCGGGAGGAACACUCGUGGCGAAGGCGGCCACCUGGACCAGUACUGACGCUGAGGCACGAAAGCGUGGGGAGCAAACAGGAUUAGAAACCCGAGUAGUCC
rnacentral:rRNA from 1 species